CUAGGAUUCUUACCUUGCUUCCUAGUUCCUUUUUCAAGUGACUCUUGGCCAAGGAAACCACGAAAUUGUCCUCUGGAAGCACGUGGAAACUGGUUCCUUCGAGCUGAAAGUGAGAUCUGCAGAAGAAAAGGUGACAACGAAGGUUUUCGUUGACUUCCAAAAUUAGAUUUCCAAACCUUCCUUGUUGGCCAAGUUCAAAUCAACCAAAACUAUAUGUAUUAUAGUUUGGCUUGUAAGUCAUGGCUUUCCUCAAUUGUCUCUCAAGUUUCUCAAAAGCACUCGCUUUUCCUCACUCAUGAACAAUCAGGCUCAACACUUAGAAAAAUUUCGGACUUUCUUGGCCUGCCAGGAGGGCACUGUUUUCGGGGGGCUUUAGGAGGCCUUCCCGAUCUCCAUUUGGGACUUGCGACCUAUGGUUGGAAAGAUAUUUGAGUGAAGUUUCACUCUCUAGUUUAAGGUUUUGGCUAAUUUUGGCUGCAGGUUUGCGAAAAUCUCACUUUUCUCUCAGAAGAUUGAUCUGGAAUUUCUGGGUUUUCAUUUCUGGAGUUGCUUCUGAGGGCCUCUUUGGGGGACGAUUCCGAGCUCUC
rnacentral:lncRNA from 1 species